rnacentral:rRNA from 1 species
UACGGAGGGUGCAAGCGUUGCUCGGAAUUAUUGGGCGUAAAGGGCAAGUAGGUGGUCUCAUUUGUCUGGGGUGAAAGCCUUGAGCUUAACUCAAGAAGUGCCUCAGAAACGGUGAGACUCGAGUUCUGGAGAGGGUCGUGGAAUUCCCGGUGUAGCGGUGAAAUGCGUAGAGAUCGGGAGGAACACCUGAGGCGAAGGCGGCGACCUGGACAGAUACUGACACUCAACUGCGAAAGCGUGGGGAGCAAACAGGAUUAGAUACCCUGGUAGUCCACGCUGUAAACGAUGGGUACUAGGCUGGGCGGGUCUUGACCCCUGCUGAGCCGGCGCUAACGCACUAAGUACCCCGCCUGGGAAGUACGGUCGCAAGACUA